rnacentral:rRNA from 1 species
AGCCAUGCCGCGUGCAGGAAGACGGCCCUAUGGGUUGUAAACUGCUUUUGUCAGGGAAUAAACCUUUGUACGUGAUACAGAGCUGAAGGUACCUGAAGAAUAAGCAUCGGCUAACUCCGUGCCAGCAGCCGCGGUAAUACGGAGGAUGCAAGCGUUAUCCGGAUUCAUUGGGUUUAAAGGGUGCGCAGGCGGAUUGCUAAGUCAGGGGUGAAAUCCCACAGCUCAACUGUGGAACUGCCCUUGAUACUGUCAGUCUAGAGUAUAGUUGAAGUUGGCGGAAUGUGUCAUGUAGCGGUGAAAUGCUUAGAUAUGACACAGAACACCGAUCGCGAAGGCAGCUAGCUAAGCUAUAACUGACGCUCAUGCACGAAAGCGUGGGGAUCAAACAGGAUUAGAUACCCUGGUAGUCCACGCUGUAAACGAUGAUUACUCGAUGUUGGCGAUACACAGUCAGCGUCUAAGGGAAACCAAUAAGUAAUCCACCUGG